CUACGGGAGGCAGCAGUGAGGAAUAUUGCACAAUGGGGGGAACCCUGAUGCAGCAACGCCGCGUGGAGGAUGACGCAUUUCGGUGUGUAGACUCCUUUUAUAUGUCAAGAAAAUGACGGUAGCAUAUGAAUAAGCACCUGCUAACUCCGUGCCAGCAGCCGCGGUAAUACGGAGGGUGCAAGCGUUACUCGGAAUCACUGGGCGUAAAGGACGCGUAGGCGGGCUUGUAAGUCAGGUGUGAAAUCCUACAGCUUAACUGUAGAACUGCACUUGAAACUACGAGACUAGAGUAUGGGAGGGGGAGAUGGAAUUAGUGGUGUAGGGGUAAAAUCCGUAGAUAUCACUAGGAAUACCUAAAGCGAAGGCGAUCUCCUGGAACAUAACUGACGCUAAGGCGUGAAAGCGUGGGGAGCAAACAGGAUUAGAUACCCGCGUAGUC
rnacentral:rRNA from 1 species